rnacentral:rRNA from 1 species
AUGGUAGGAUAGAGGCCUACCAUGGUGGUAACGGGUAACGGGGUGUUAGGGCACGACACCGGAGAGGGAGCCUGAGAAACGGCUACCACAUCCAAGGAUGGCAGCAGGCGCGCAAAUUACCCAAUCCCGACACGGGGAGGUAGUGACAAUAAAUAACAAUACGGGGUUCUGUAGGAUCUCGUAAUUGGAAUGAGUACAAUUUAAAUCUCUUAACGAGGAACAAUUGGAGGGCAAGUCUGGUGCCAGCAGCCGCGGUAAUUCCAGCUCCAAUAGCGUAUAUUAAAGUUGUUGCAGUUAAAAAGCUCGUAGUUGAAUUUCGGGGUCAGUAGGUCGGUCGUGCCACUGGUAUGAACUGGUUUUACUGAUUCCUCCCUCUUGAAGAACUGUAAUGCCAUUAAUUUGGUGUUGCAGGGAAUCAGGACUGUUACUUUGAAAAAAUUAGAGUGUUUAAAGCAGGCUUUAGCUUGAAUACAUUAGCAUGGAAUAAUGAAAUAGGACGUUUGAUCCUAUUUUGUUGAUUUCUAGGAUUGACGUAAUGAUUAAUAGGGAUAGUUGGGGGCAUUAGUAUUCAAUUGUCAGAGGUGAAAUUCUUGGAUUUAUUGAAGACUAACUACUGCGAAAGCAUUUGCCAAGGAUGUUUUCAUUAAUCAAGAACGAAAGUUAGGGGAUCGAAGACGAUCAGAUACCGUCGUAGUCUUAACCAUAAACUAUGCCGACUAGGGAUCGGAUGAUGUUAAUUUUUUAAUGACUCAUUCGGCGCCUUACGGGAAACCAAAGUGUUUGGG